CCGUGCCUCUGGUGGAGGGGAUACACCUGAAUUGAGCUUAUCAGGACUACUGCUGGCGCUCACUGCAGCUCCCCCUUCGUCUGACAUCUUUCUCUUCACCGACGCUCCUGCCAAAGAUGCUGAGCUGAAGAGCACUGUGACUGCACUGAUUGAGAGCACCAAGUCAAAGGUGAAUUUGGAGGGAUCAACCUUGCUUUUUGUGUCUCUGUGACACUGUCUGUGUUUAUGUCUGUAGGCUUUUUCUCUGUUUUUAUGUCAACUAGCUGUAUACUGUAUGCUAUUUUUGUAUUUGAAAAGUUUACAUACUCAGAACUGUGUAGAUACUCUUCAUGUGUAAUAUUUCUCAUGUUUUUGUAUGCUAUUUAAAAGCACAUAUCUUUUCCCAUAGGUCACCUUCAUGCUAACUAAUCCUUUCCGCCCAGCACGUCGCCGUAAGCGCUCUGGGAGCCCCAGGUCUAAACGCUUAUCUGGGGCAGACACUCAGCUCUACCGGGAUCUAGCACAGGCUUCAGGGGGCCAGGCCAUAGAGGUCUCCAAGUCCUCACUGCCUCAGGCCACUGUGAUCAUAGAGGACUCCUCAACCCCUGCUCUGGUAACCCUGCUCCAGGCAGUGAGGACCCCGCUGAGGGCUGAGAACUUCUCCUUCCUGCUGGACGAGUUGGUGUCCAAUGUGACGCUGUACAUCACAGGGUCCUCACCUGCGUUUACUCUCUACAGUCCCAC
rnacentral:lncRNA from 1 species